rnacentral:rRNA from 1 species
AGAGUUUGAUCCUGGCUCAGGACAAACGCUGGCGGCGUGCCUAACACAUGCAAGUCGAGCGGACGCUAGCUUUCGGGCUAGUGUGUGUGGCGGACGGGUGAGUAACACGUGGAUGACGUAUCCUCGUGUGGGGGAUAGCCUUCAGAAAUGAGGGAUAAUACCGCAUACGAUCUUUAAGCGGCAUCGUUUGAAGAUGAAAGAAGCAAUUCGUUCAACGACGGGACCGCGUCCCAUUAGCUAGAUGGUGGGGUAAUGGCCUACCAUGGCGACGAUGGGUAGCUGGUUUGAGAGAGCGACCAGCCACACUGGGACUGAGAAACGGCCCAGACUCCUACGGGAGGCAGCAGUGAGGAAUUUUCCGCAAUGGGCGCAAGCCUGACGGAGCGACGCCGCGUGUGGGAAGAAGGCCUUCGGGUCGUAAACCACUGUCGAAGGGGAAGAUUAUGACGGUACCCUUGGAGGAAGCCCCGGCUAACUACGUGCCAGCAGCCGCGGUAAGACGUAGGGGGCAAGCGUUGUCCGGAAUCAUUGGGCGUAAAGAGCGUGUAGGCGGCUCGGUAAGUCCGCUGUGAAAGUCCAGGGCUCAACCCUGGAAUGCCGGUGGAAACUGUCGAGCUAGAGUCCGGAAGAGGCGAGUGGAAUUCCUGGUGUAGCGGUGAAAUGCGCAGAUAUCAGGAGGAACACCUAUGGCGAAGGCAGCUCGCUGGGACGCGACUGACGCUGAGACGCGAAAGCGUGGGGAGCAAACAGGAUUAGAUACCCUGGUAGUCCACGCUGUAAACGAUGGGCACUAGGUGUGGGGGGUGUCGACUCCCUCCGUGCCGACGCUAACGCAUUAAGUGCCCCGCCUGGGGAGUACGGCCGCAAGGCUAAAACUCAAAGGAAUUGACGG